UACAGGGGGGGCAAGCGUUGUUCGGAAUUACUGGGCGUAAAGGGCCCGUAGGCGGCCAACUAAGUCCGACGUGAAAUCCCAAGGCUUAACCUUGGAACUGCGUCGGAUACUGGAUGGCUUGAAUUCGGGAGAGGGAUGCAGAAUUCCAGGUGUAGCGGUGAAAUGCGUAGAUAUCUGGAGGAACACCGGUGGCGAAGGCGGCAUCCUGGACCGGCAUUGACGCUAAAGCGCGAAAGCCAGGGGAGCAAACGGG
rnacentral:rRNA from 1 species